rnacentral:rRNA from 1 species
CCUACGGGAGGCAGCAGUGAGGAAUAUUGGUCAAUGGACGAGAGUCUGAACCAGCCAAGUAGCGUGAAGGAUGACUGCCCUAUGGGUUGUAAACUUCUUUUAUAUGGGAAUAAAAUGUUCCACGUGUGGGAUUUUGUAUGUACCAUAUGAAUAAGGAUCGGCUAACUCCGUGCCAGCAGCCGCGGUACUACGGAGGAUCCGAGCGUUAUCCGGAUUUAUUGGGUUUAAAGGGAGCGUAGGUGGAUUGUUAAGUCAGUGGUGAAAGUUUGCGGCUCAACCGUAAAAUUGCAGUUGAAACUGGCAGUCUUGAGUACAGUAGAGGUGGGUGGAAUGCGUGGUGUAGCGGUGAAAUGCUUAGAUAUCACGAAGAACUCCGAUUGCGAAGGCAGUUCACUGGACUGCAACUGACACUGAGGCUCGAAAGUGUGGGUAUCAAACAGGAUUAGAUACCCUUGUAGUC